AUCGCUUCUCUGCCUUUUGGCUAAGAUCAAGUGUAGUAUCAAAAUGAGAAACACUUGGUCCUCUGGCCUUAAGGUUGCCAAGCAGAAGCUUGAUGAAAGCGGAGGAGCUGUGUUCCUAUAAGGGAGGGCUGCUGGCUUAUUUUUAGUUGGGGGCUUUGCACAUGCUCCUCCUGCCUAAUCAUGCUU
ensembl:snRNA U2 U2 spliceosomal RNA